AACGAACGCUGGCGGCAUGCCUAACACAUGCAAGUCGAACGAGAUCUUCGGGUCUAGUGGCGCACGGGUGCGUAACGCGUGGGAAUCUGCCCUUUGGUUCGGAAUAACCGUUGGAAACGACUGCUAAUACUGGAUGAUGACGAAAGUCCAAAGAUUUAUCGCCAGAGGAUGAGCCCGCGUAGGAUCAGCUAGUUGGGGUGGUAAAGGCGCACCAAGGCGACGAUCCUUAGCUGGUCUGAGAGGAUGAUAAGCCACACUGGGACUGAGACACGGCCCAGACUCCUCCGGGAGGCAGCAGUGGGGAAUAUUGGACAAUGGGCGAAAGCCUGGUCCAGCAAUGCCGCGUGAGUGAUGAAGGCCUUAGGGUUGUAAAGCUCUUUUACCCGGGAUGAUAAUGACAGUACCGGGAGAAUAAGCUCCGGCUAACUCCGUGCCAGCAGCCGCCGUAA
rnacentral:rRNA from 1 species